rnacentral:lncRNA from 1 species
AAACAACCUGUUGGGGGAAGGAAGAGGCAACAAAUUGAUGAAGCGGAACCUAAUGAAGAAGACAUCAACUUAAUAGCCCCCCACCCACUUGAGGAAUAUGAUGAAAACCAUCUUCUAAUGCCUAGAACAAAAUCUGAAGAAGCUUAUCUACAAAGGCUACAAAGGAGACAAAGACCACAACAACCAACUGGGAGUAGAGUUAUAAUUUUGAGAGGUAAUAGAUAUGGUGUUAGUGAACCAACUAACCUUUCAAUAUCACCAAGUGAAUUAACUUGGAAGGGGAAAGAUGCAG